AGUCGUCUAAACAUCUCUGGACCAGAAAUAGCGACAUGUUCUAAGUAAAAAACCAUAAAUGUACAGUGAAGAGGUGGGCUCCAAACUCUUGAGCUAUAUGGUUAGUUUUGGUCUAAUCCAGCUUGAUUUGAAUAACAUAUGGAAACUACACCCAUCAAAUCUUACAAAUAACAACCGCCCAAUACUUCAACAAUAAAGUCGCAACAACAACAAAUAUAUAUUAUCUCAAAUUGUACAUCCUACCACGUCAAUACGGACCCCCUUAGAUAACAAAUAUACAAAAUUCAAUAUAACAUUUUUAUAAGAAACUAUACAUCAAACAUAUACUACUCACACGUACGGGGAGCCAACAACCACACCUUCCACUCAAAUAUAAACAAUCCGCCAACCACUCAACACCGUAGCUUCUAACAAGCAUCUUAAGCAGUCACAGUAUGCUAAACCAACUAAAGCAUUACCCCAAACACCCCCUCAAACCACGGCCAUGACAGAAUGAUCAACCAAUCACUCCCAACGUCCAACAUAUUUCACAACAUCAUGGG
rnacentral:lncRNA from 1 species